CACGUAGGGCGCAAGCGUUGUCCGGAAUUAUUGGGCGUAAAGAGCUCGUAGGUGGUUUGUUACGUCUGCUGUGAAAUCCUAGGGCUUAACCCUGGGCUUGCAGUGGAUACGGGCAGACUAGAGGUAGGUAGGGGAGAAUGGAAUUCCUGGUGUAGCGGUGAAAUGCGCAGAUAUCAGGAGGAACACCGGUGGCGAAGGCGGUUCUCUGGGCCUUACCUGACACUGAGGAGCGAAAGCGUGGGGAGCAAACAGG
rnacentral:rRNA from 1 species